rnacentral:rRNA from 1 species
UGGGGAAUAUUGGACAAUGGGCGCAAGCCUGAUCCAGCCAUGCCGCGUGUGUGAAGAAGGCCUUUUUGGUUGUAAAGCACUUUAAGCGAGGAGGAGGCUACUUGGAUUAAUACUCUAGGAUAGUGGACGUUACUCGCAGAAUAAGCACCGGCUAACUCUGUGCCAGCAGCCGCGGUAAUACAGAGGGUGCGAGCGUUAAUCGGAUUUACUGGGCGUAAAGCGUGCGUAGGCGGCUUUUUAAGUCGGAUGUGAAAUCCCUGAGCUAAACUUAGGAAUUGCAUUCGAUACUGGGAAGCUAGAGUAUGGGAGAGGAUGGUAGAAUUCCAGGUGUAGCGGUGAAAUGCGUAGAGAUCUGGAGGAAUACCGAUGGCGAAGGCAGCCAUCUGGCCUAAUACUGACGCUGAGGUACGAAAGCAUGGGGAGCAAACAGG